rnacentral:rRNA from 1 species
AGCCGAAGCGAAAGCGAGUCUGAACAGGGCGCGAUAGUCGGCAGGAGUAGACGCGAAACCAAGUGAUCUACCCAUGAGCAGGUUGAAGGUUGGGUAACACCAACUGGAGGACCGCACCGGUAAACGUUGAAAAGUUUUCGGAUGACUUGUGGGUAGGGGUGAAAGGCUAAUCAAACUUGGAGAUAGCUCGUACUCCCCGAAAUGCAUUUAGGUGCAGCCUUCGGGGCUGAGUUGAAGAGGUAGAGCGACUGAUAAGAUGCGAGGGCUUCACCGCCUAUCAAGUCUUGAUAAACUCCGAAUGCUUCAACUUUUACCCGAGGAGUGAGGGCAUGGGUGCUAAGGUCCAUGUCCGAGAGGGAAAUAACCCAGACCAUCAGCUAAGGUCCCGAAAUAAUAGCUAAGUUGAAUUAACGAAGUAGAAUUGCAAAGACAGCUAGGAUGUUGGCUUGGAAGCAGCCAUUCAUUUAAAGAGUGCGUAACAGCUCACUAGUCGAGGAAUUCUGCGUGGAUAAUAAUCGGGCAUAAGCUAUUUACCGAAGCUAUGGAAUAUGCAAAUAUUGGUAGGGGAGCAUUCCACGGGUCGCAGAAGGCCUGUCUCGAGACAGGCUGGAGACAGUGGAAAAGCAAAUGUAGGUAUAAGUAACGAUAAAGGAGGCGAGAAACCUCCUCGCCGCAAGACCAAGGGUUCCUGAUCAACGCUAAUCGGAUCAGGGUAAGUCGGGCCCUAAGGCGCAGCCGAACGGCGCAGCCGAUGGCAGAAACGGUUAAUAUUCCGUUACUGAAUGUAAGAGUGAUGCGGAGACGGAGCAGUGACACAUCCGCCUGCAGACGGAAUAGCAGGUUAAAGAGUGUAGAUAAUAUUUCGGUAGGCAAAUCCGCCGGGAUAGUCGAACUUGACAGUACCGGGCGUCCUCGGACAACCGGAUAGCGAUGGUAAUCAGACUCCCAAGAAAAUCCGCUAAACAUAUGUUACAUUCACCCGUACCCCAAACGGACACACGUGGUUGGGUAGAAUAUACCAAGGCGCUCGAGAGAUUCACGGUUAAGGAACUAGGCAAAUUGACCCUGUAACUUCGGGAAAAAGGGUCCCAACGUCAAAGUUGGGCGCAGAGAAUAGGUCCAGGCAACUGUUUAACAAAAACACAGGGCUGUGCGAAAUUGAAAGAUGAAGUAUACAGCCUGACACCUGCCCGGUGCUGGAAGGUUAAGAGGAGACGUCAUCGCAAGAGAAGCGUAGAAUUGAAGCCCCAGUAAACGGCGGCCGUAACUAUAACGGUCCUAAGGUAGCGAAAUUCCUUGUCGGGUAAGUUCCGACCUGCACGAAUGGUGCAAUGAUCUGGACACUGUCUCAACCGUGAGCUC